AAGACCUUGCGCUUUUGGAGCGGCCGAUGCCUGAUUAGCUUGUUGGUAAGGUAAAAGCUUACCAAGGCUUCGAUCAGUAGCUGGUCUGAGAGGACGGCCAGCCACACUGGGACUGAGACACGGCCCAGACUCCUACGGGAGGCAGCAGUGGGGAAUUUUGGACAAUGGGGGCAACCCUGAUCCAGCCAUGCCGCGUGAGUGAAGAAGGCCUUCGGGUUGUAAAGCUCUUUCAGCCGGAACGAAACGGUUACGGAUAAUACCCGUGACUACUGACGGUACCGGAAGAAGAAGCACCGGCUAACUACGUGCCAGCAGCCGCGGUAAUACGUAGGGUGCGAGCGUUAAUCGGAAUUACUGGGCGUAAAGCGUGCGCAGGUGGUUUUGUAAGUCAGAUGUGAAAGCCCCGGGCUCAACCUGGGAACU
rnacentral:rRNA from 1 species